GCCUAUAGCUCAAUUGGCAGAGCAGCGGACUUUUAAUCCGCGGGUUCUGGGUUCGAUUCCCAGUGGGC
rnacentral:tRNA from 1 species